rnacentral:tRNA from 1 species
GUUCUAGUUGCUCAAAUGGUUCAGUGUUUGGCUGUUAACCAAAAGGUUGGUGGUUGGAACCCACCCAGAAGCU